rnacentral:rRNA from 1 species
UACGUAGGGGGCAAGCGUUGUCCGGAUUUAUUGGGCGUGAAGCGCUCGCAGGUGGUUCGUUGCGUCGUGCGUGAAAGACCCCGGCUCAACUGGGGGGUGUCGUGCGAUACGGGCGGACUGGAGGCCAGUAGGGGGAUGCGGAAUUCCGGGUGUAGUGGUGGAAUGCGUAGAGAUCCGGAGGAACACCAGCGGCGAAGGCGGCAUCCUGGACUGGUCCUGACACUCAUGAGCGAAAGCGUGGGGAGCGAUCCGG